rfam:Danio rerio chromosome 4, GRCz11 reference primary assembly.
GGGCCAGGGGCGCAAUGGAUAACACGUCUGACUACGGAUCAGAAGAUUCUAGGUUUGACUCCUGGCUGGCCCA